CAAUAGCGUAUAUUAAAGUUGUUGCAGUUAAAAAGCUCGUAGUCGGAUUUCAGAUUGUGGUGAGCGGUCCGCCGAGAGGUGAGCACUGCACGCUGCUUUCUUACCGCUCGAAGACUGCGUGCGCUCUUAACUGGGCGGGCGUGGGAUUCGGGACUUUUACUUUGAAAAAUUAGAGUGUUCAAAGCAGGCUCGCGCUUGAAUACAUUAGCAUGGAAUAAUGGAAUAGGACUUUGGUUCUAUUUUGUUGGUUUCUAGGACCGAAGUAAUGAUUAAUAGGGAUAGUUGGGGGCAUUAGUAUUUAAUUGUCAGAGGUGAAAUUCUUGGAUUUAUGAAAGACUAACUUCUGCGAAAGCAUUUGCCAAGGAUGUUUUCAUUGAUCAAGAACGAAAGUUAGGGGAUCGAAGAUGAUCAGAUACCAU
rnacentral:rRNA from 1 species